AUCGAACGCUGGCGGCAGGCUUAACACAUGCAAGUCGAGCGAGCGGCGGACGGGUGAGUAAUGUCUGGGAAACUGCCUGAUGGAGGGGGAUAACUACUGGAAACGGUAGCUAAUACCGCAUACCAUCAGAUGUGCCCAGUUGGGAUUAGCUAGUAGGUGGGGUAAUGGCUCACCUAGGGGACGAUCCCUAGCUGGUCUGAGAGGAUGACCGGCCACACUGGAACUGAGACACGGUCCAAACUCUUAGGGGGGGCAGCAGUGGGGAAUAUUGCACAAUGGGCGAAAGCCUGAUGCAGCCAUGCCGCGUGUAUGAAGAAGGCCUUCGGGUGGUAAAGUACUUUCAGCGGGGAGACGUUACCCGAAGAAGAAGCACCGGCUAACUCCGUGCCAGCAGCCGCGGUAAUUC
rnacentral:rRNA from 1 species